rfam:Gossypium raimondii Chr11_contig_33, whole genome shotgun sequence.
UAUUAAAAAUUUUAUUCAAUUCUAUUGUUAAAAAUUGACAUGGUUAAUAGAAUAACCAAACAGUUACACAUACAUCUUGUGCUUACAUACAAAAACCAACUUUUAACAAUAGAAAGAGAUAAAAUUUACAAUA